UUUCCCCUCUUUGAUGUGACUCCAAUCCCGCCCUUCGCUCAUUUCCCUCCUCCCCUUCCAUUACGAUUUCACGCUUCUUCAGUUUUUCAUCUACGAUUCUUCAUUUUCGCAUGGGUUUUUAUUUAAAGGUAUAAUCUAAACAAACUGCUUACCUCUUUUUUCCAAUUUCAGAUCUAAUAAGUUAGGUUGACAACAUGAAGGAGCGAGGAUGUUGAUGAAGUUUGAGACGAAGAUGUUCGCGAAUAAGGUUUAUUUUUCCAAUUUAGGGUAACAGUUUGUAACCAAUUUAUUCAUUUAUAACCUCCAUUUUGGGUAACAAUUUUAGUUUUAUAGUUCUACCAGUUAAUUGAUGUCAUGUUGAAAUGUAAGAUGGAUAAAUAAUUACUAUUAAUCUUAAAUUACGGCUAUUUAAAAUGGCCUUCACAAAUCAGAGCCUAGCUGAUUAAAAAUGUUAGAUAAUCUUGGUUGUUUUGUUAAAAUCUAAACUGUUAUCUGAACCAAUAGACAAGAAGACAGAGGCUGGAAUCAUUAUUUAAUGCAUAGACAAGUCUCUUAUUGUUGACGAACCAUGACCAUCACCAUCCAAACUCCAAACCAGCCUCUUCAUUUGGUUUUGUGCUGUCAUCCGAGCCAGUAGGAGACGAGAAGUCAGGGGAUGUCAUUAUUGUUUAAUCCUGUGGGCGUAUUCAGAGAUACUUUGCACUUGACAAACCACAUCAGGUGUUUAAUGCAAUGCCAAAGAGAGAUGUGUUGUCUAUAAUAGAUGUGUUUAACGAUGUUAGGCAUGAGGAUGAAAAGUGAAAACACACUCUCAGAAUUUCUUGCUUCCUUAACGGACUACACCCCAACUAUUCCCGAUGAAUUGGUGGAACCUUACUUAGCCAAGAGUGGAUUCCAAUGUCCAUAAGUUCGAAUCAGAUGAUGAUGCUGUUGGAUGUUUAGACACGAGGAUAAGAUCUUUUGUGGCUAGCUCAAUGCUGUUACAUCUGUCGUGUGGGCUAUCAGGAAGUCACACUUGUAGAUCUUGAUGGAGACAGAGAUUACCACAUGCCUGAUGAACUUGGAGGUAGUGGUGGAAUGUUGAGAAAAACUAUUUGCUGGAAAUGCGCUAAAGGAUUGAAGAUGGUCAUUAUAGAAAAAAAAGCUGAGCUUGAAGCUAUGCGAAAAGAGUUUACCAGCCAGCGACACAACUUGGAAGCUAUGAUGCGGAAGGUUAUGAAACAAGUAGUUGAAGAUCGAGAUGAGUAGAAUGUUUUCACUUUUUUAUUAUUGUAAUUGACUGUAGAGUUAUUUAAGUUUCGACAAACAUGUUGAAGUAGACACUUUGAUUAUCAAUGAUAUCUUUGUUAUUAUUGUUUUCGUGUAA